CAAACAGUUGCUGACAUACAACACUACAGUUUAAACUCUUCAAGAACACAAGAUGAAACUUCUGCUGGUUGUCACCAUUUCUCUCUUCAUAGCGCUGGUUGUUGGCACUCCUAAUAUUGAUGACAUUAAAUUUGAUAUUGUUGGAGCUAAAACAGCUGCGUCAAGUGGAGGGUCUGCUGGGAAACGAGCAUUCAAUGGAGGUCCACCCGUAGGAGGCAGUGGAAACGAUUUAAAUGCCUUGAAGACAAAAGAGAUGGAACUGGAUUAACUGGCACCAUUAUUCUUGUUGUUCCUAUCACAAUGAAGAAAUGUUCAAGGAAACAUGAACAUUCUGCAGACUUUCACAACUGUCUUGGCUUCCUAAACAUUUAAGAAACUUCCUUUAAUAUUCCUUCCCAAUUCUUGCAGUAAUCUGGAAGAUUCCAGAUGUUGUCUACAUGGAAACUUUUAAACUUAAUUUCCAUGAAAAUUCCAUUUGUUGAUGGCAGAACAUUCUGGAUGUUUCCAGUUUGAUGUUAAAAUAUAAAGUGCAACCUUCAUCAAUAAAAUCUAAAUUCUAAUGUC
rnacentral:lncRNA from 1 species